CUGUUUAUAAAUUGAUAGUGUUAUUGAGUGAUGAGCAACAUUAAUGGAAAGUUUUCCACUAAACAUAACAUGAUGAUAAUAAUGAUGAUCCUAUAGAUAGCUGAAGCAUUUGUUAAAGGAUAUAUGAAACAUACACAAUUAGAUCCUUUCCAUAUCUGAAUCUGACAUGAAUUUGAACGCGUAACAAAAAUUCAACACUUAUAUCACAUGUGUUACUGAUUUUAUAUCCUUGUCAUAGAUCGUAUUUACGUCAUUUGUGAUGUCCAUGAUUCUUAGGCUGAAGGGACUGAGUUAUGAGGAGUAGUGAUGGACCAACUGGAGCUUUGAGACAGAUAGUAUGACAACAAAUAAUCCAAGUUCCUUUUUUGAUAGAAAAAUAUUACAUAUAGUUGCAUGUGGUAUGCCUCAUUUCCAUCUGUUCUAUUGUCAAGGCUGUUAUGAGAAUUGUUAGAGUUGAAACCUAUUCCCGCCUGCUCCUAACAAGUAAAUUUUGUUUUCUAGUUUUUCCUACUUGCAAAGAUUUGCAAUAGAAAAAUGUCUUUAAUGUAUUGUGCUAACUCUGUUGAAUUUAACUGUAGAAAUUCAAAGGUAAGACAUGGCUUACUUACCACAUAAGCUAUCACGAGUGAAAGUAAGUGUCCCAGCAGGUGAAUGUACACGAUCCCCUCCUUUUGGACCCCAUUCAACGAAAGGUUCAGCAUCACUAAUCUCAUAUCCACUUGUCCAUGUUACAGUCAUCUAUUUUAAAUGAUAAAUAAUAAUAUUUUAAUUUGAUAAAAUGAAAGAACCAUUUACAGUAAAGGCACUAAAUGGAAUAUAUAAAAUGCACAUUGUAUGCAGUGUAGGACAGAAGUUGAACUUACCUCAUUCCAAGACUUUCCUAGCGCCAGACGAGGGUAAACUGGUGCAUUUGGAUUAGCAAAAGCUAUUUUAUCCGACACUGCCACUAGCUUUGGCUACCAAAGGUAAAUUGGAACAAAUAAGAGAUUACAUUUAGUUAUAUUAUGAUAGAUGUGAAAAUCAGAAAGCUUCUGAAUUUAAAGCAUUGUUGAAUUUGAAGAAUUGGAGAAUCUGAUCCAAUUUACUGAUUAGAGAAUUAUGAUUCCAAUAUACCGAAAUCCAAAAGAAAUGUAAGUCAGCCGUGAUACCAGGAUAUAAAGGAUUUUGUUCUAUGCAUAUGCAAUUAUUUCCAUUUUUUGAGCAAAAUGACAUAUUAAAGCAUCACAAGGGAAAAUAUCAUCCCAAUGAAGUUGGCACUACAAUUAUAAACAAUCAUCUAUAGCACACCAUGAAUAUAUAAAAAAAUAAAAUAUAGUACGGAAGAACAAAAAUAUGAGUGACAAAAACCAAAACCUAAGAGAACAAAAACCAGAACUGCUUCUCAGCACAACAAUUUCAUCUAAAAUGAUAACUAAGAAGAACCUGUCUAACUGUCUAUCAUUACAGCCAAAAUCCUCACAGUGAAAUAAGGAAUUGAAUCCCACCAACUGAAGCCAGGAUAGUGAACAUGAACGCUAUAAGACAACUGCUUCUCAGCAAAACAAUUUCCUUCCCAAUGGAUAAGCAAAUCUUUGAAACUGCAUGUUUUUGCAAAUCAGUAUGCAGUUUCUCUUACAAGGUUGGCACCACAGUCCCCCUGACAAUCAUAUACAUCACAAAAAGUUUCCAAGAAAAGGGAUGGAACUAUGUUCGGACUGAAACAUAGUUUAGCUAUUUAACCAUAGUUUGUGCGUGUGUGGGUGUAAACACUACUUAUGCAUUAAAACUAUGUUUGGAUUGAUGGA
rnacentral:lncRNA from 1 species